CUUCACCGAACCCAGCCACAGCGGCUGCUCGCGGUCCUGGCCGUAGGUGGCCAGAAGUGCCUGCGCCUC
rnacentral:antisense_RNA from 2 species